rnacentral:rRNA from 1 species
CAGUAGCCGCGGUAAGACAGAGGAUGCAAGCGUUAUCCGGAAUGAUUGGGCGUAAAGGGCUCGCAGGCGGUUUCUUAAGUCUGAUGUGAAAGCCCCCGGCUCAACCGGGGAGGGUCAUUGGAAACUGGGAAACUUGAGUGCAGAAGAGGAGAGUGGAAUUCCACGUGUAGCGGUGAAAUGCGUAGAGAUGUGGAGGAACACCAGUGGCGAAGGCGACUCUCUGGUCUGUAACUGACGCUGAGGAGCGAAAGCGUGGGGAGCGAACAGGAUUAGAUACCCGAGUAGUCCCUGUCUCUUAUAC